CAGCACCUCAAGUGGUCAGGAUGAUUAUUGGGCCUAAAGCAUCCGUAGCCGGAUCUGUAAGUUUUCGGUUAAAUCUGUACGCUCAACGUACAGGCUGCCGGGAAUACUGCAGAUCUAGGGAGUGGGAGAGGUAGACGGUACUCGGUAGGAAGGGGUAAAAUCCUUUGAUCUAUUGAUGACCACCUGUGGCGAAGGCGGUCUACCAGAACACGUCCGACGGUGAGGGAUGAAAGCUGGGGGAGCAAACCGGAUUAGAUACCCGAGUAGUC
rnacentral:rRNA from 1 species